rnacentral:rRNA from 1 species
UACGGAGGGGGCGAGCGUUAUUCGGAAUUAUUGGGCGUAAAGGGCGCGUAGGCGGCGCGAUAAGUCAAAGGUGAAAUCCCUCGGCUCAACUGAGGAACUGCCUUUGAGACUGUCGAGCUCGAGGCCGGGAGGGGGUAGCGGAAUUCCCAGUGUAGCGGUGAAAUGCGUAGAUAUUGGGAGGAACACCAGUGGCGAAGGCGGCUACCUGGACCGGUUCUGACGCUGAGGUGCGAAAGCGUGGGGAGCAAACAGG